GGAGGCAGAGAUUGCAGUGAGCCGAGAUCACGCCACUGCAAUCCAGCCUGGGCGACAGAGCAAGACUCUGUCUCAAAAAAAAAAAAAAAAUCAGCAUUUGCGACCCACCAAGACACAGUAGUUGGGACUCAAGCUCGCUACUGGCUUGGACAUCCAAGCAGGAGGAGAAGGGUGUCAAAGGUGUCAAAGUAAGAUGGAAAGAGGUCAAGGCCCAGACCCCUGGUCUGACCUGAGCCUGACCACCAUUUCACAGAGCAAGUAAUGACGCCCUCCUCCCAGACUUGCCCCAAAGCCCCCCAGAGCUUGGCGGUGUCCCCGGACGGUCGUCCCAGGAAACAUUUUGAACAAGUUGCUGAAGUGCCUGAUGGACGCGGCUCUUGUCAUGAAAUGAGUUUGGAUCCGAGAAGCCCCCUUCUCAUCAAAAAAUGGGCCGGGGCCCAAUUUCCCCUCCACCCGAACCCCGUCAGAGCCCUUCCAGGCGGCGGACGGCUCCGCGUGUUGGGAGGAUCUCUGAUUUCGAGAUGGGUCGGGGGCUUCUCAGGAUUCUGCAGCCCAAAUUGUGCCAGCCCACGAGGAGCACGUGUUAUGAACAUCAUUCCCAAAGAUCCUCGGCACUUGGUGAACGGACAGUCCCCUCGGCUCCUUCCCAGAGGCCCUGGGUCCCAUGGGCCAGGGGUAGAGAGGCGGCUCGAGCCCCUGGUGGGGCUGGCAAGAGGCUGAGACCCAGCCAGGGACAUGGAGCUCUCCAUGGCUCCGGAGCUGAGUUUCCUUCUCCUGCCCUGGAGCAGGCAGAGGCACUCUACCCGGGCUGAGCUUCGGCUGAGCAAGGCUAAGGGAAGUGUGUCCUGGGGGUCCGUGCAGGGGGCAGGUGUCAGGGGUGCCCCAGCCACCACCUGGUAUUCUGUCUCUCAGGGAAGGGUCUGCAGAGGGGCCUGGAAUAGGGAGGUUUGGGGGCAGGCCCAGGGGCCCCAAGGACCUCUGUUGCUCCCAUUAGGACAAGGAUGAGCUGUGCACCCAGAAUUCCACGUUUACGCUGACUCCUCCAGUGCCUCAUCAAUGAAUUGACAGAGUCAAGUCCUGGCGUGCCCAAGGCUAUCCAGGGGAAUACGCGGGACAGACAGAACCCUCAGACCGUCCCCAUGACCCUCUGCUCCAGUCUGAGGGACAGGACACCAUGAGACCUCUCAGACACAGGGCCCACCCUCGACAUGACCCGGAUGAAAGGCAGGAGUGUGUGUCCUGCUUUGCCCUCGAAGGUCCCUGCAGAGGACCCAUCUGUGCGAGCCCACAGCCCUACCUGCAGCAUCCACAGCCUCAGAGCAGCGGGGGCUGCUUACCCCUGAACCCCCGCCAAGAGCAUCAGGACAACAAACCUUGAGCCUUGGAGACAAGAGAAUCAGUAUGCCUGGCCCAGGAAGGAUUCGAGGAGAGGACACGCGCAAGAGCCCUGGCCCAGAGCCAGAACCAAGAGUCCAGCCAGGUGUGGAAAUGGUCCAGUCCUGGCAUGGAGUGGAUGGCCCCGGAGGGCAGAGGGGACCCCAUGCCUGGGGCCAUCCAUCUCACCCACUAUAGAGACAGGCCCCCGAGUGAGGUGGCAAGGGGGCCAGGUGACAGCAAGGGCCCCUCCCAUCUAAGUUCUGAAUCAGGGCUGCAUCCCAGCCAGCACAGCCCUGGGGUGAGAGAGAGAGUCAGGAAGACUUGAGCCAGCCCAAACCCUCGGGGGCCGGCCUAGGAGCAACCUGAGGUGCCCCGACGGCUCCCCCGCCACAGCCCAUACACAACUGUCACUCCAGGAUCGGAUACCUGCAGGAGUGUCCGCAGCAUCAGACUCAAGGAGCCACACAGGGACCCCAGGGACUCCAAAGACCCAGGUCUGGGGGGGGCCCGGCCCUGUGAGGACCUAAUGGGCUCGGUGGAGAAGCGGACCACACAUGUCUGCUUUCCUUUCGGCGAAACUGGAGCUAGAGUCCCUGACACCCAGGCCUCUGCAAGCAUCUCCCAAUGUCAAGUCCUUCUGCAAGGGAGAUGAGCUGGCCUACCCCAGGCUGUCCAGCUCCAGCAGGCUUGCAGGCGGCCCCUCCAGAACAAAAGCCUGGUCCUCCGCCACCCUGCCCCCGUCCCCCACGCUGUCCCUGAGCCCGAGGCCCAGAGCCAGAGACACAAGAGGACAUCUGUAGAGCCCAAGGGAGCAGAUUGUUCUCUUGGGACCCCGGGGGGAUCAGGGUGUGGCCAGGCUGUCCCCAACUCAGGACAGACCAUGGGCUGCCCCAGGGUACCUCCUCUGGAACUUCCUGCCCAAGCUUCGCCAUGGACCUGGACGUCAGGGGCCUGUGGUUCAACUUUGAAUAGGGAUUCUGGACCUUGCGCGGGUGCCCAAGACAACCCCAGAAUCGUGGGUGGGACCCAGUGGGACACGCCCAGCAAGCCCAUCAGGGCCCUGAAACCCGGCCUUGCCGGGCACUGUGAUAAUAACCAAGAGGCAAGUCCAGAGACAUCCACUUUGCCCAAUGGCACCUGCAUCCGACUUCUCAGUAGGCAGUGACUGGCAUGGUGUGGGGGCAGCUGGGGCAGCACCUGGCCAGCUGCCCCGUAACCCCAGAUGGUUCCAGUGCCUCUGGACCUCUUUUUCUACUUUCUACGGGGAAACCUGCUCCCUCAGAGGCUGCCAGAGGGAAGAGUGAGCAAGGCAUUCCUGCAGCUCAGACCAGCCAGCGGCAUGUCCUGUGGCCUCUGACUCAACCUAUGAGACAGAGCUCUGAUCCCAGGGCACACUUCCCAGGACAUGGGGCCCAGCCUCAACCGGAGCCCUGUGAAGGGAGGGGCACCAGGAUGACCAUAUGGGGGACCGUGGCACUGCACACCUGGGCACUGUACUUUUCAUUGGAGAAUCCAGGCAAGAUCUUGAAGCAGGUGCAUGAGGUCCUGAGCCUGUGCAGCAAACAGCACUCAUCUGGGGCUGGCACGAAGGGGUCUACAGAGCCACGGCCACUGCUGCCUCCUCCCAGCCCCAUCUGUGCAGUGCAAGUGAUCCACAUCCGCUCCUAAGCCCAGUCCAGCAAGCAGCAGCCUGGGCCCCCCAGCCCGCCAGGCCGAUGUGCUGCCCAGAGGCUUUAAGGCCCUGCCCGCUGUGCCUCCCACCACCUGGAAGCUGCCUCCUGACACCUGCCAGCCACUGCCACAGCCGCAACAGGUGCCACGGCCAGUGCAGGCUUUCCAGACAGUGGGGGCGCCCAGCAGCGGUCGCCUCAGCAGCUCUUUGGUGGCAGCCAGGCCAACCAGGGCAGCAACUAUGACUAGGAUGAUGCGUGAGCAAACAGCUCCACACUGGUGGACAGGCUGGGUGCGCGCCCGGCCCUCAAAGGCUCGCUGGGCCUGUACCAUCAUUGUAAAUUUGAGAUCAUGAGAUUAUACCAUUUGCCUUCUUGCUUUUUGAAGUACGAAUAUUUUUAUGCACACUUGGUAGACCUAAAAAUCCAUGAAGGGUCUCAAAGAAGCUGGCUGGAUGGAGCCUGCUGUGGAUGCCUUUUUACUUUCAUAGACCAGGGUGAUUUACAUUCCACCUGUAGCCUGUUUGCAAACUCUCACAGAGCAGCCUUGCAGCUUUGUGCCUUUAGACUCUUGGUUUUGCGUUUCUCCCCGCUCCCUUCUUCCAGUAAGCCGCAACUUUUCUGAUUGAAAGGGUGCAAGGCUAACAUACGGAAUGACUAACUCAGGAUCACAUACUGGCAGUGAGAGGGGCGGGAGGAGCAGCUGCCAUCAAUUGGCACGGCCAAGUGGAUGAUAGGAUGGAUGCUGGCGCAUGCGGAAGAGGCAGACGCAAUGCUCAUCUCUGAUACGAUGUCUAUUCCCUUAGAGGCAGCUGUAGCAUCGCCUCGUCAAGCAAGUGUCUUGAAACUCAGUUUGAAGAUUUCAGCAAACGUAUCUUACAGCGAGGAGAAGAGGGAGUCAGUCCAUCAGGAUUUAAAAUAUUGAGGCAGUGACAACACACACCCGGCUUCAGUUCUUAGGAGAGUUUUGGUUUUGUUUUUUUUUUUUUUUUUGGAGACGAUUUUUUUAAUGGAUCUACACUGCUAACUGAGACUCGGAUGAGAUUCACUGGUUUACUUAAAAACUUCUCAGGGACAUCUAUAAAUUUCAGUGUCAUAUGUCAUUAAAACAGGUGUGGGUGGAUCUGUUGGUUGCAAUAAUUUCUACUAUUUCAAAUACUGAAGGCAAGCAUAAUUGGUUUAUACUGUAUUUCAAAUAAAAGUAUGACUGAUAAGUCCCCCAGGACAUUAAACCUUAAAAGUCAUUUUUAAGCUCUUAUUAUUGUAAGAGAAAUACAAAUGACUGGAAAAUGCCACAGAGAUUCGAAAGCUGCUUAAUUGAAAGAGCAGGAAGGGAUUCUGGCUUGUAAUGCCAAAUUUUCCACGUUUUUAUAGUUACUGAGCUAAACCAUAUGGUUAUUGACACUUUCUAAAUCUGUCACUGAAAGGUUAAA